UUUCCCUUCUGUAGAGACAGUCUACACAUUCCAAUGUCUCUGCCUCUGCUCUGAUUAUGCUACAUGAAUUGACCUUUCUCCAUCCAAACCUUUUUCAGACCCAUUCAAACAUCCUUUCCUUCAUGACGCUUAUCUGAUUCGACUCUCUUCCUUACAACUCCUUCCAACUACAAGUGUAUCUGUUACAGUGUUUAGCACAUUCUGGUUUAUCUUUACUGCUUAUCUUUCUCCCUUACUGAUCUUUCUUGUACAGUUCAUAAGGAGAAGUCAUGCUUGUAUCACAUUUGAAUCAUCCCCAGCAAGUAGUGGAACACCUACAUGAAUUAAUUCAAAUGAGUUUUUCAUGUGAUUUUUUUAAAUGAAAAUUCCACGGGAGAUUACCAUCUCAGAGAGAAAACUAAUUUAAGACUCCUUCACAGAUUAUCAGAUGAGGAUGUGGAAUCAAAGAAGUUUGAAUUGUUAUAAAUGUAUCUGCUCUCAGGAGGCAGAUGAAGGGAAAUUGUAUACGGUACAUUUGGUUUCUCCUUGAUUACUAGCAGCUGCCCAGGACAUUAACAUGAAGUCUCCGGCCUCAGGUCAGUGAGUUGCCAACCUACCACAUUACCAUCCUUGGAGCAAACACUGGGCAAUUUUAAUUCACUCUAAGAUCAUAAGAGUGAAGUGACUACCAAAAAACAAUCAAAUUAACUGGAGAAUAAUGUCCAACCCUAAAGGGAUAACAUUCUCCUUUGGUUAUAUCCCAACCUUGAUUUUGCACAGUUCCAGAUACCAUUUUUUGACUAUUAAUUCAAUAAAGCACCAUUGUUUAGCAUUCCUUGUUUCCUAUUAUUCAGUUCUUCAUUCCUGUUCCUUGGGCUCACUCCUCAAAAUAAU
rnacentral:lncRNA from 10 species